rnacentral:rRNA from 1 species
UACGAAGGGUGCAAGCGUUACUCGGAAUUACUGGGCGUAAAGCGUGCGUAGGUGGUUUGUUAAGUCUGCUGUGAAAGCCCCGGGCUCAACCUGGGAAUGGCAGUGGAUACUGGCAAGCUAGAGUGCGGUAGAGGGGUGUGGAAUUCCCGGUGUAGCGGUGAAAUGCGUAGAGAUCGGGAGGAACACCGAUGGCGAAGGCAGGUCUCUGGGCUGACACUGACGCUCAUGCACGAAAGCGUGGGGAGCAAACAGG